rnacentral:lncRNA from 1 species
GGCAAUCUAAUACAAAUAGUAUAUGUUGUUGUAAUACGUGAAGUCUUGCUUGAGAAUGCUCCGGACACCUGGUUGUGGAAGGUAGAAUGGAAAUUGCAACAAUAAAAUCCUAACUCUAAUAGAAUACUAACUAAACUCUAAUUAGACCAUAACAAUGCUAAGCAAGCUUUAAUCAAAUUCAAAGAAACCUCAAAGAAAUUACAAAUAAAUAAUAUGAAAUAUUAAAGAAAUAUUAGAAUGACCAUAAAUAUAUUUCAAAUACAUCUCAAUUCAAUCUUAAUUUAAUCCUAGUUAAAAUCCUAUUGGACUUCAUUCAAACUUUAGGCCAAAAAUUAACUAAAUCUUAAAUCCUAAACAAAUCCUAAGAAAAUCCUAAACCCUAAAUCAAAUCCUAACCAAACCCUAAUCAAACCCUAAAUCCUAAAUCAAACCCUAAAUCAAACCCUAAAUCCUAAACCAAAUUCUAAAUCUUAAACCAAACCCUAAUCAAACCCUAACCAAACCCUAAUCCUAAAUCAAACCUUAACCAAAUCCUAACUCUAAAUCCUAAAUCCUAAACCAAAUCCUAACCAAAUUCUAAUUCUAAAUCAAAUCCUAACCAAAUCCUAAACCCUUAAUCAAAUCUUAAUCAAGCCC